rnacentral:rRNA from 1 species
CGGACGGGUGAGUGAUGUCUGGGAAACUGCCUGAUGGAGGGGGAUAACUACUGGAAACGGUAGCUAAUACCGCAUAACGUCGCAAGACCAAAGAGGGGGACCUUCGGGCCUCUUGCCAUCGGAUGUGCCCAGAUGGGAUUAGCUAGUAGGUGGGGUAACGGCUCACCUAGGCGACGAUUCCUAGCUGGUCUGAGAGGAUGACCAGCCACACUGGAACUGAGACACGGUCCAG